rnacentral:tRNA from 1 species
GGGGAUUUGGCUCAGUGGUAGAGUGCUUGCCUAGGAAGCGCAAGGUCCUGGGUUCGAUCCCCAGCCCCA